UACGGAGGGUGCAAGCGUUAUCCGGAAUUACUGGGUUUAAAGGGUGCGUAGGCGGAAAUAUAAGUCAGAGGUGAAAUCACACAGCUUAACUGGGUAAUUGCCUUUGAUACUGUAAUUCUUGAAUCAGAUUGAGGUUAGCGGAAUGAGUCAUGUAGCGGUGAAAUGCAUAGAUAUGACUUAGAACACCAAUUGCGAAGGCAGCUAGCUAGGUCUGUAUUGACGCUGAGGCACGAAAGCGUGGGGAGCGAACAGG
rnacentral:rRNA from 1 species